CAAUAGCGUAUAUUUAAGUUGCUGCAGUUAAAAAGCUCGUAGUUGGAUUUCGGGUGGGAAUGGCCGGUCCGCCGUUUCGGUGUGCACUUGCUACGCCCACCUUGCUGCCGGGGACGUGCUCUUGAGUUCACGCUCGGGACACGGAGUCGGCGAGGUUACUUUGAGUAAAUUAGAGUGUUCAAAGCAGGCCUACGCUCUGAAUACAUUAGCAUGAAAUAACACGAUAGGACUCUGGCCUAUCUUGUUGGUCUGUAGGACCGGAGUAAUGAUUAAGAGGGACAGUCGGGGGCAUUCGUAUUUCAUUGUCAGAGGUGAAAUUCUUGGAUUUAUGAAAGACGAACUACUGCGAAAGCAUUUGCCAAGGAUGUUUUCAUUAA
rnacentral:rRNA from 1 species